rnacentral:piRNA from 1 species
UGAGGUAAUUUGGAAAAUUGGCAUUGC